rnacentral:rRNA from 1 species
AAAUUGAAGAGUUUGAUCAUGGCUCAGAUUGAACGCUGGCGGCAGGCCUAACACAUGCAAGUCGAGCGGAAACGAGUUAUCUGAACCUUCGGGGGACGAUAACGGCGUCGAGCGGCGGACGGGU